rnacentral:lncRNA from 1 species
CCAAAUUAAGGCUUAAAUCUCAAGUGGACAAACAAUUCAUUAUCUCUAGAUUCUUUCUCAUUAAUAAUUGCUAUUAUUAUUAUCUUUUGCUAUUUUAAUUAAAAGUAAAAUGGCAAACAUAAUAAUUGCUAUUAUUAUUAUCUUUUGCUAUUUUAAUCAAAAGUAAAAUGGCAAACAUAAUAAUUGCUAUUAUUCUUAUCUUUUGCUAUUUUAAUCAAAAGUAAAAUGGCAAACAUAAUAAUUGCUAUUAUUCUUAUCUUUUGCUAUUUUUAAUCAAAAGUAAAAGAUAAGAAUAAUAUGUGAUAUCAUUCUUAAGAAUGAACAAUCACGUAGCAAUUAGACAUAAUUUUGAGAAAGAGAGAAAUUGAGAAAGAAAGAGAUUGAGAGUGUUUGUUCAUUGGAGUUGAGAUAGGAUUCGAAGAUCGUUGCCAUCCAACGUCGAAUCUUGCCGUGGGAACAAUUCGGAAGAUCAACUCUGGAGUCGAUCACUUCUCGUUUCGCAGGUAUACUUCUUUUACUACCUUGUAGGAUUAUGGUUUUUGUAUGUACUUGUUAGAUAUCCGAAAUGGAUCGUGGGC